AUCGCUUCUCGGCCUUUUGGCUAAGAUCAAGUGUAGUAUCUGUUCUUAUCAGUUUAAUAUUGGUGAUGUGUAUUUCAUAUAUUUGGUUGCAGUUGUCAUUUAUA
rnacentral:snRNA from 1 species